rnacentral:rRNA from 1 species
GCGACCCCAGGUCAGGCGGGGCUACCCGCU